rnacentral:rRNA from 1 species
GAUGAACGCUGGCGGUAUGCUCAACACAUGCAAGUCGAACGGACUCUUCGGAGUUAGUGGCGGACGGGUGAGUAACGCGUGAGAAUCUGGCUUUGGGUUCGGGACAACCACUGGAAACGGUGGCUAAUACCGGAUGUGCCGAGAGGUAAAAGAGAAAUUGCCUGAAGAUGAGCUCGCGUCUGAUUAGCUAGUUGGUGAGGUAAAGGCUCACCAAGGCAGCGAUCAGUAGCUGGUCUGAGAGGAUGACCAGCCACACUGGGACUGAGACACGGCCCAGACUCCUACGGGAGGCAGCAGUGGGGAAUUUUCCGCAAUGGGCGAAAGCCUGACGGAGCAGUACCGCGUGAGGGAAGAAGGCUCUUGGGUUGUAAACCUCUUUUCUUAGGGAAGAACAAAAUGACGGUACCUAAGGAAUCAGCAUCGGCUAACUCCGUG